AACGAACGCUGGCGGCGCGCCUAAUACAUGCAAGUCGAGCGAGAAGACGUAGCAAUACGUUUGUAAAGCGGCGAACGGGUGAGGAAUACAUGGGUAACCUACCCUCGAGUGGGGAAUAACUAGCCGAAAGGUUAGCUAAUACCGCGUACGCUCCUCGGACUUCGGUUCAGGGAGGAAAGCGAUACCGUGGGUAUCGCGCUCUUGGAUGGGCUCAUGUCCUAUCAGCUUGUUGGUGAGGUAACGGCUCACCAAGGCUUCGACGGGUAGCUGGUCUGAGAGGACGAUCAGCCACACUGGCACUGCGACACGGGCCAGACUCC
rnacentral:rRNA from 1 species